GUGACGUAACACGUCCGUGCACGUGGUCAGAGGUGUUUGAAAGAUGGAAAACAGGAAGAGCAAGGAUGGUGCGGAGAAGACAGGAAAGUUCUGGAAAUAGACGCAGCCGAAUGUGUAGAAAUUGGAAACUUUUUCACUACAAAUGAGGCAAAUGAGGCCGAGGAAACGGAUACGGAUUUUGAACUUUGCAAACCACCCCCUUCAGAGUCAGAAGAAAGAUCCAGAAUCAAGCAGCAGCCAAGAGCCACAAGUCCAGAGUGAGAGAUGUUCAGAGGGAGCUGAUGCCACAUCUGGUCCAGCCGACGGAAGGUCUUGAAGUUCUCUGACUGAAGAUGGCCCUGUCACUGGAUUUAAGGUUCAGGCGUUCAGGAACAAACUCCACCAAUUAGCCAACAGGGAAGCUUUAGGUUUAUUAAAUGUUGCUGUGAAGCAUGAAGAAUAAACUCUCCACAAAGACAGCAUAACAGCCUAUAAAUAACGGCAACUCCAAUUUUUUUAUUUUUUUUGUAGGAGUUAAAUAUAAAUCUAGCCCUAUUUGAAUAAGUUUGCCUGGCUGUGAUUUGUUUGAUCUGAUCUGGUACAGCUGCCACAUGAAGGUUUCAUAACUUCAUAUUUUUACUCUUCGUGUUCUUGGCCUGCUGAAUGAAACUUUAAAAAGACGGAGAGAAAUUUUUGCACCAGAUUCUCUUUCAGCCCUGACUUCUGAUGGACAUGAGAUGAAAAGAAGAAUGGCAAAAAGAUUCCAGUAGAAGAAAAGACAUGUAGGAGCAGGAUGUCCUUUACUUCAGAAUAACACCACAGAUACGGCAUGCCUAGCAAGAAUGUGGUAUAUUGUGUAUAACUGUCUGAGAUGUUAGAAUCAACUAAAAAAAUCACUUUCCAAAAAGGAUGAGACAGAGAUGAGAAAAGUCAUGAACAAGAAAAUAAAAGUGAGCACCAGGAAAAGAGAAGAAAUGAUGGAAACAAGAACAUUGAGCCAGCCAAAUAGCCCCCAGCAUGCGGUUUCACAUUAUGGAAGGGAGCUGAUUAUCAGCAUGAUACAAAAGGUCAGCCAAAGAAAAACUAAUUUUACUGUGUUUUGUUUUUUUGUGUGUCUGGUGCAUCUUCCAUCCAUUAGCUACACCUGUUUUAUUCGGUAUUUUAAAACUCAAGAACCAACCUGGGGAGCCUCAAGAUGACCAAAGACCAAAAAAAAAAAAGACAGUUUUUAAACUUCCAGGAUCAGUGGACUGAGUAAGAUGAUGAAGUUACUGCAUCAAAUAAUCCAAUAAACAAAGUUUAAACAUUUAUAUCUCUAUCCACAAUGCUGUGAAGUAGAUAGUGACUCAGUAGGUGUCAAGAGGAUUUAUAGAAGUAUUUGGAAAUAAAAAAAAAAGUUCACAGAGGCCCCCAGCAAAUAGAAAGGAGCCAUGACCUGUUACAGCCAUAAGGUGGCAUCACAGGACCAGUUUAGAGCCAAGCGUGUGAAGUCAGUCUGCCUACAUGGAUUUUUAUCUCCACACUGGAGCCAAAUAAACCGGCUAGACGAUGAUAAAAUGACCGAUGGCUUUUGAGGGGAAAAAUAAAAAUAAGGUUGUAAACAUGUAAAGAUAGAAAAUGCACAGAAAAAGACAAAAAUAGCUGCACAUAUAGUAUCUGAAUAUUGCAGUGGGAAUGUAAAAUCAGAAGCAUGGCACCUUUAAAUGUAUACAGUGGAGGAAUGUGUGUGAUUUAAUGUUCUGUUAAUACAAAUAUACACGGUACGGGCACACAGAAACCUGCUGCUUCCUGUUUACCGCACAUUAACAUGAUUUCGGAAUCCAAACAGUCACAUGAUGCCGCUGCAGGUCUGACGGUUUUACUGCUUCGACGGCAGCUUCCUCUCUGUUCCGUUGCCAUUUCAUGUAGUCUCCCACAGCACAGCUCACACUACGCCCACUCAUUUUCUCCUUCUCUGAACUGAUGUGACAUUUCUUCUUCUCAUGGAGUCUUUUUUUCUUUUACUGCCCAGGCAGGUUUUCGGGAAAAGAGGAGAGACCUCUUGUACUCGGAGGUCUUGUUAGAGCAGAAAAUCAAGAAAUUCCAAAUUGUGUCCUCAAGGCAUCAAAUGUGAGAGGCUCAGAGACCCAAUUUAAAGUGAGGUGUUCUUCAAGUCAUCAAACCUGUCGGAUGUAUGUAGGAUUCUGUAUGUCUGUGUACCAUUUCAGGCGAAAUGUACGACACAUUUGCACCGUAACUAACUAAAUAUUUCAAGGCUAAACAUGUAUUCCUAAUUGAAUUUUACUUUUAGCUAUCCGUCUUGGCUCUUUAGCAUUAGCAUUGCCCCCAGUUGUUUGUCUGUUACUGUAUUUUUCACACUAUUAAUUUCUCACACGUUUGGUUUCAGAUUGCCGAGUUCAUUCGUUAUCUUUAGUUCAACGUGUGGAAAAAUGUUUUGAAAUGAACUCAUCUAUAGUUUCUGAACUCAUUUUGAGGACCCACUGUUGUACAAAUACUGCUGUUUGGGAUUCAGGAUGUUUGGAUUCAUCCAUGUAAAGUCACUUCAUUACACCGUCUAUUGAUCCCAGCUCCCUUUUAGAGCGCUCAUUACAGUAGCAGUCAUUUGUCUUUUUCAGAGAAAAUCCAGUAAUUCUGUCCUGACAUGAAAGCAUAAACAAAACAAUAAGACUCGCUCUUCUCCCCCCCCUCCCCCCUCAAUCACACAUAAACAAAGAGCGCACAUGUAGAGCUUGUGUUUUUAUCAAGCAGCCCACCACCAACCAAAGAGCCCAGUCUGUGUUCUGUCACGCGUUGGAAAUGAAUCGGAGAUGCCAGCCUCCCUCCCACAUCUCCCGCUGCCCACUCUGCUCUCCAGUCGCAGUUUAUUUAUCGAACAAACUGGCAUCCAAAUUCACUUUGAAACGCUUCAGUGGCUUGACACCUCGAGUACCGUCCACCCAGCGACGGGAUCAGAGGCCCCUGAAGCAAGUUGGAGGGCGGACAGAAAAACUCCUGGCCGGAUGCGUUUCUGGCUGCUGAUGCCUGCAGGAGAACAUCUGGGGAGAAACAAGGUGCAACACAACCUCAAUGCACACACAAUGCUGCUGAAGUCCGGUGAGACUCUGCAGCCUCGCAUCGUGCCCUCCGGGUGCACAUGCCACUUCCCAUCUGUCUUGUGCACUUUGUCGAACAAUCUCCCGGAGCCAUUGUGUUUUCAAUGCAGGCUGCUACACCUUAUAGAACCACAUUAAAGCUUAAUGCUGUCAGAUGAGUUUCUUCAUGUGCAUCACUGCAUCUUGAAACAUGAGGUAUUGGUGGUCAUGGUUCCUACAGGGAGAUGUUGUAUGGAAGCCACUGAAGGUCAAAACAGUUACAUUUGCAAAUACAGCAUUUAUAUGGAGUGAUGUUUGGAGACAUUUAAUAAUAACUGUAUAUACGAUACUGUUCUAAAGUUUAGUGUCACUUAGAAAUGUCAUUUUUUGCUAAUGUGUUGAAAGGCUAACAGAUGAUUAGAAAAUCUUUGUGCAAUUAUGAUAGCACAUGAAUAGAAGCAUGAGUUUUCAUGGAAAACAUGAAAUUGUCUGGGUGACCCCAAACCUUUGAAAGAAAAUGUAUAUUUAAUAUUUUCACUCCUUUUACCUCCGUUUUGGUUUCCUCAAAUCACAACACUCCUCCGUGUUGUAGUUGCUAACUCUGCUUGUCAGCCUUACGUUGCUAAGCAGGUAGUAUCAGUUAGCUUUAUAAUAACGCUUUUGUUUUUCUUAACUGAAAAAAGCUACAAAAAAUGGUUGAAAAGUGAUGAGUUGAGUGAGCGGAAACAAAAAGUACAAAGUCCUGCUCAACAAACGAAAACAAUAAGCGGUGCUAAAAUGUUCUGUAGAGGGACCUAACAUCAGGUGAUAACUGUGGAUUCAUUACUGAAGCUGUAAUGUGAUCUGUUGUUGAUAUAGAAAUACUUAAUGUCGCAGUUUUAAGUCUCACAGAUGUCAGAGAUCAAAUAUGUGACUAAAUAUCUUGAAAUGAUCUUUAAAGCUUCAAUGAGGUUUCAAGUACAA